rnacentral:lncRNA from 1 species
CUUGCCUGUAGGCAACGAUGGCAUUCUGGAUUAGAGAUGCUUCAAGAACGUGUGUGAAGAAUGGUUAGGGGAUGCAUAAGGUGGAGGGAGGGAAAGCAACGUGCCGAAGAGCUGUCGCUUUCAUGGUUGGCGAUGAAUAACAGAAUCCAGAGCAAGACAAAUUAUGGAUGACCCGUCUUUAUCUGAGCCGAGCUGGAAUGGAGAUAAAUGCCUUGGAGGGCGGGGCGAAGAGAAACAGGACUGUGUUAGAAAAACAGUUUGAUGGAGAAAGAAGAUCUGAAUCUUGUUCUGUUAACGUGCUUCUGAGCUUCUGAAAGACAGAAGAACAUUUUUCUUCCCCAGCCAAUGACAGUUGCAUAGCUGUUGAAGUAGGUAUAGAGUAGAGACCCAGAGCCUUAUGUAACUUAUACAAGCAAACACAUUAGUCAGCUUAGUUU